AUUUAAAUAGUAUAAAUUGUACAUUUAAUUUCCAAUUAAAAAGUCUAAAUUAAUUUUAGUUUAAAUA
rnacentral:tRNA from 1 species